CUUUAGCAAUGACAGCUUCUCCGUACACUUUAGGACCAUGGCUUUCCACCUACAAGUCCCCACAAGCACUUUUUAAAAAAUGAAAUUAAAGAAAAUAUCAGAGUGCAUCCAACAGAGUAAGUAUUAUUUCAUGAAACUUUUGAUUCAGUGACAUGUGUGUAUGAGUCUGGGUGGUAAUGUCAGAUGUAUUUCUUACUGAGAUUUUAAAAGUUAAACUUUAAACGUUUAAAGGAAAACAUCUGUUCAUCAAAUAUUAAGUAUGAUCAGAAACUGUAUCUUGUUCUAGGGUAAAGAAAAGAGCAAGACUUGGCUCCUUCACUUAGGAAGCUGUGAAUCUGGGGGCGAAAAGACAAACAUACCGCUAGGACAGGAUGUGAAAACCACACUGACAAAGUGGCGUCAGGGUGCCUGGAGUUGGGAGGAGGAGCCAGCACCUUCCAGGAACCCCAGUGCCCCUGGAGGAGGUGGUGUGUGGGCUGGUCCUGAAGCGGGCUGCAGGAGGAAGCGUGUUCUCGGAGGGGAUGGGGGCGUGGAUGGACAGCUGUAGCCUGGUGUGGGAAUCCAGGGCAAGGGGCUGCUGGACCAGGCUUGGGCAGAGGUGCCAGGAGGGACACAGGGGCAAUGAUGACAGGGAGGAAACGAUCAAAGCGGACCAGAUAUUGACUUUAUCUUGUGGGAGAUGUGGGAGAUAUAUAUGUGUGUGUGU
rnacentral:lncRNA from 1 species